CCUACGGGUGGCAGCAGUGGGGAAUAUUGGGCAAUGGGCGCAAGCCUGACCCAGCAACGCCGCGUGAAGGAAGAAGGCUUUCGGGUUGUAAACUUCUUUUCUCAGGGACGAAGCAAGUGACGGUACCUGAGGAAUAAGUCACGGCUAACUACGUGCCAGCAGCCGCGGGAAUACGUCGGUGGCACGCGUUAUCCGGAUUUACUGGGUGUAAAGGGCGUGUAGGCGGGGACGCAAGUCAGAUGUGAAAACCACGGGCUCAACCUGUGGCCUGCAGUUGAAACUGUGUUUCUUGAGUACUGGAGAGGCAGACGGAAUUCCUGGGGUAGCGGGGGAAUGCGUAGAUAUAAGGAAGAACACCAGUGGCGAAGGCGGUCUGCUGGACAGCAACUGACGCUGAGGCGCGAAAGCGUGGGGAGCAAACAGGAUUAGAUACCCUAGUAGUC
rnacentral:rRNA from 1 species